rnacentral:misc_RNA from 1 species
CCAAAAAAAAAAAAAAAAAAGGAAGCUUCCCCUAGGUUAGGCAUAACUCUUUCCAACCUGAUUCUCAAUCUUCAAAUCUAUCUUGAUACUCUUCAAGAGCGCUUUCUUGCCUUAAUCUCAUAAAUUCUUCAACUACAUCCCCCUAAUCCUUCAUCCCCACACCUACAACACAAUUUCUUCUCAAAAUCUUCUCUAAGAAUGACCUCCAUCACCCUUACCCCAAUUAUGACAUGCAUAAACUCUUUCUAUCAAGAAUAAACUUGCUAUUCCCUUCCUUAGGAACCCAAUACAUCUCAAAAUACUUAGUACAUUUCCUUAGCCAAGCCCUAGGUUUUUUGCCAUUAAAAGCAAUCAAUUUAACUUUUGGUAAAAUCUUGGACAUACCUUUUGCAUCCAUUGCUGAUCCAGAGCUAUUGUAAUCACCUUUAUGAGUUACAUUAUUAUUCUCCUUUGAUGUGGGAAUAAUUCCCCUUCCCCCAAUAGUAGCAACAGAGGCACCAGCUUCCUUAUUGUCACCCUGAUGCAUUCCUCUGCUUUUUUCAAGUAGAUUUCCCCCAAUUUUGGAUCACAAUUCUUCCAGAAGAACAUUUCUGGUAUCAAUUUUACCUCUUUGAACUCCUUGUUGCACACUUUGCUUAAUUUCUUCUUUCAAUUCCUUCUUAUUCCUUCUGGUUUCCUCUUGCAAAGGCUUAAUAACUUCCCCUAAAUUAGAGAUCCUUGAUUCCUGAGUAACUGCUCCAGAUCUAGUCACCUUCACGGUGUUUCGAAUCUAAAAAGAAAGCUAAUCCCUCACGCAACUUAGCUCUGAUAUCAAAUUGUUAUGGACCAGAUCUGAUACAAUCUAUAGAUAGAGAUUGGAACUCAAAGCAGAGAAGAAAAGAUGAGAUGAGAAGAGAAUAGAAGAGUAAGAGAGAAAUGUAUUCUGUUAUUGAUUCUUGGAAUGCCUUAUUACAGAAGUUCUCUCCUUCAUACAAGAGCAGUGUAACUGCAUCAUAACAGAAUGGCAUAAUGGCCUACAACAGAUUCUGUUGCUAGUAAAGUAUCUUUCCCUCCAAUUCCUUAACUACCCAAGACUAACACUACUUAUCAUUAUUCCUCUUUCUUCCCCUAUAGUAUGUAACUGAUCACUAGCGAGAUGGUCAUCUUUAUUAAUACUUCGAAGAUACACACAGACUGUUUUACACAAUUUGCUCCAGUAAGUUUGUUCUGUGAUUUUCUUCAUCACAGAAAUCACAUCCGCUAUGAUAGAUUAACUUUCUGUCAAUUCUAUAUGAGACUACCACAGGCUAACUAAAGCAUCACUUAAUUCUUCACCAGGCUACCAAGAAACACAAACCCAGUGCCACAAAUAGAAACCCAAGAAUCAGUAAUCGAAUCAAGCAGAAAAUGCACAAGCUAGAGAGAGCAGCACCAAAAAUAGUAUGAAACAAAACCUGUAGUCACAAAGGAUGAGCAGGAGCACUUUCAAGAAGUCACCAAAUGGGGCAGUAGCACACUAGGGUGGCGUCCCCUCUUCAAGUCGACGAAGUAGGGGGAAGCCGGAGCGAAAACGAUUGCCGAAAACAGCCUCACGUUUCGAAUUGUGGGGCGAGUUCAAUGGAACAAAAAGGGCACGUGAAGGCCAUAUGUUCUUCCAGGCACUGAAUUCUAGGGGAAGGCCAGUUGAUGGCCAGCGGUGCUUCUAGGGUAGGACGUGAGAACAAAAGAUCAUCUUAUAUGGGGGACCUCAUUUCACAUUGGGUUUGGUACACACAGAUAGAGUUCGAUGACAUAGGACUCUUGAGAGAUUUCAAAUCAGAGAACUAAAAUUCGCAAAGACAAAAAUAUGCCUAUACACUUGGCUAUACAAGGAAUACAUAAUAAUUAGGAAUAUAUAGUUGACUUUCCCUAACAGCUCUUAAGCAUUGUUUUGGCGAGAAUAAGCAGCUGAUGCAUUUAGUCAUAUAGCUACUGUUCUUCAUGAAAUGAGUGAACAUGUCAUUGGUUUCGAUAGGGUGAGAGAUGAUGAUGAUACUUGUUCUGACUUUGGUCCCAUUUUCUAACAGGAAAUUUCCUAACACGGUUUGUAGUUUAAUGCAUCCAUAAUCAUAAGCAUAAAUAAAGUCAUUAGGGAACUGUCAUUAAUUUGCAAGCACUUAUUCUAGUGAUUUGAUAUAAUAUGGUAUUCUUGUGGUUCCACAAUCCAAACAAGCUUCUAUUUGAAUACACUGCAGUGUUUCUGCCUUUGAGGAGGCUUGCUUUGUUGUUUUUUUUCAUAUGGUGAAUAAUUGAACUACUUGUUUUGAAAACCUGAAGUGUUUGCUUGUGUAAAGAUUGAUGUACAAGAGUAGUGCCUGAUUUGGAAAUGAAUAGGCGUAUGAAUUUGGAAGAUAAAUAUUUUAAGAUCUCUGUGUUAUCUUCUACUCAUUGCAUGGUAUUCAAGAGGCAUGAUUAUUCAGUUGUGUAAAUUUUGAUGUUGUGGCUAUAAACACCCAGGGAGAGAAUUUAUUUACUCCUUGCAUUUUCAUUUUUUUCCCCUCUUUUUAUUAAUGGGAAUCUUUUAAAUCUUUUUUUUUCUAUAUAACAUGGAAGGACAUGGUGAUUUUAUUUUAUAUGAUUGUCGUUGCAUUAAACUGUAUUAUGCAAUUUACUGUUAGAAAGUGAUUAUGUUUAUAGCAUUUCGUUUGUUAUAAUUUCGUUUAAUUUAACACAAUUGUGAAAUAAACUUUGCAGGGAAUUUUGGUGGUGACCAAAUGG